UACGUAGGGGGCAAGCGUUGUCCGGAUUUAUUGGGCGUAAAGAGCGUGUAGGCGGCCAUACAGGUCAGCUGUGAAAACUCGAGGCUCAACCUCGAGACGUCGGUUGAAACCGUAUGGCUAGAGUCCGGAAGAGGAGAGUGGAAUUCCGCGUGUAGCAGUGAAAUGCGUAGAGAUGCGGAGGAACACCGAUGGCGAAGGCAGCCCCCCUGGGCUGACACUGACGCUCAGGCACGAAAGCGUGGGGAGCAAACAGG
rnacentral:rRNA from 1 species